GGGUUGUGAGGUUAAGCGACUAAGCGUACACGGUGGAUGCCCUGGCAGUCAGAGGCGAUGAAGGACGUGCUAAUCUGCGAAAAGCGCCGGCGAGGUGAUAUGAACCUUUGACCCGGCGAUGUCCGAAUGGGGAAACCCAGUGUGAUUCGUCACACUAUCGUUAACUGAAUACAUAGGUUAACGAGGCGAACCGGGGGAACUGAAACAUCUAAGUACCCCGAGGAAAAGAAAUCAACCGAGAUUCCCCCAGUAGCGGCGAGCGAACGGGGAGCAGCCCAGAGUCUGAAUCAGCUUGUGUGUUAGUGGAAGCGUCUGGAAAGUCGCACGGUACAGGGUGACAGUCCCGUACACGAAAGCACACAGGUUGUGAACUCGAAGAGUAGGGCGGGACACGUGGUAUCCUGUCUGAAUAUGGGGUGACCAUCCUCCAAGGCUAAAUACUCCUGACUGACCGAUAGUGAACCAGUACCGUGAGGGAAAGGCGAAAAGAACCCCGGCGAGGGGAGUGAAAAAGAACCUGAAACCGUGUACGUACAAGCAGUGGGAGCACCUUCGUGGUGUGACUGCGUACCUUUUGUAUAAUGGGUCAGCGACUUAUAUUCUGUAGCAAGGUUAACCGUAUAGGGGAGCCGAAGGGAAACCGAGUCUUAACUGGGCGUUAAGUUGCAGGGUAUAGACCCGAAACCCGGUGAUCUAGCCAUGGGCAGGUUGAAGGUUGGGUAACACUAACUGGAGGACCGAACCGACUAAUGUUGAAAAAUUAGCGGAUGACUUGUGGCUGGGGGUGAAAGGCCAAUCAAACCGGGAGAUAGCUGGUUCUCCCCGAAAGCUAUUUAGGUAGCGCCUCGUGAACUCAUCUUCGGGGGUAGAGCACUGUUUCGGCUAGGGGGCCAUCCCGGCUUACCAACCCGAUGCAAACUACGAAUACCGAAGAAUGUUAUCACGGGAGACACACGGCGGGUGCUAACGUCCGUCGUGAAGAGGGAAACAACCCAGACCGCCAGCUAAGGUCCCAAAGUCAUGGUUAAGUGGGAAACGAUGUGGGAAGGCACAGACAGCCAGGAUUUUGGCUUAGAAGCAGGCAUCAUUUAAAGAAAGCGUAAUAGCUCACUGG
rnacentral:rRNA from 1 species